rnacentral:rRNA from 1 species
GACGAACGCUGGCGGCGUGCUUAACACAUGCAAGUCGAACGGAAAGGCCCUGCUUUUGUGGGGUGCUCGAGUGGCGAACGGGUGAGUAACACGUGAGUAACCUGCCCUUGACUUUGGGAUAACUUCAGGAAACUGGGGCUAAUACCGGAUAGGAGCUCCUGCUGCAUGGUGGGGGUUGGAAAGUUUCGGCGGUUGGGGAUGGACUCGCGGCUUAUCAGCUUGUUGGUGGGGUAGUGGCUUACCAAGGCUUUGACGGGUAGCCGGCCUGAGAGGGUGACCGGCCACAUUGGGACUGAGAUACGGCCCAGACUCCUACGGGAGGCAGCAGUGGGGAAUAUUGCACAAUGGGCGGAAGCCUGAUGCAGCAACGCCGCGUGCGGGAUGACGGCCUUCGGGUUGUAAACCGCUUUCGCCUGUGACGAAGCGUGAGUGACGGUAAUGGGUAAAGAAGCACCAGCGAACUACGU